rnacentral:rRNA from 1 species
UACGUAGGUGUCCAGCGUUGUCCGGAUUUAUUGGGCGUAAAGCGCCCGCAGGCGGCUUGCCAAGUUCGAUGUGAAAUCUCCCGGCUCAACUGGGAGGGUGCAUCGAAAACUGGCAGGCUUGAGGCAGGGAGAGGGAUGUGGAAUUCCAGGUGUAGUGGGGAAAUGCGUAGAUAUCUGGAGGAACACCAGUGGCGAAGGCGGCAUCCGGGCCCUGUCCUGACGCUCAGGGGCGAAAGCGUGGGGAGCAAACCGG